UGGGGAAUAUUGCACAAUGGGCGAAAGCCUGAUGCAGCGACGCCGCGUGAGGGAUGACGGCCUUCGGUUUGUAAACCUCUUUCAGCAGGGACGAAGCGCAAGUGACGGUACCUGCAGAAGAAGCACCGGCUAACUACGUGCCAGCAGCCGCGUUAAUACGUAGGGUUUAAGCGUUGUCCGGAAUUACUGGGCGUAAAGAGUUCGUAGUCGGUUUGUCGCGUCGUUUGUGAAAACCAGCAGCUCAACUGCUGGCUUGCAGGCGAUGCGGGCAGACUUGGGUACUGCAAGGAGGACUGGAAUUCCUGGUGUGGCGGUGAAAUGCGAAGAUAUCAGGAGGAACACCGGUGGCGAAGGCGGGUCUCUGGGCAGUAACUGACGCUGAGAAACGAAAACGAGGGUAGCGAACAGG
rnacentral:rRNA from 1 species